rnacentral:rRNA from 1 species
GACGAACGCUGGCGGCGUGCUUAACACAUGCAAGUCGAACGGGAUUUAGUAAACAGAAGCCUCGGUGGAAGAUUACUAAUGAGAGUGGCGAACGGGUGAGUAACGCGUGAGCAACCUGCCUAUGACAGUGGGAUAGCCUCGGGAAACCGGGAUUAAUACCGCAUAAAAUCGUAGAAACACAUGUUUUAACGGUCAAAGAUUUAUCGGUCAUAGAUGGGCUCGCGUCUGAUUAGCUAGUUGGUGAGAUAACAGCCCACCAAGGCGACGAUCAGUAGCCGGUCUGAGAGGAUGAACGGCCACAUUGGAACUGAGACACGGUCCAAACUCCUACGGGAGGCAGCAGUGGGGAAUAUUGCACAAUGGGGGAAACCCUGAUGCAGCGACGCCGCGUGAACGAAGAAGGUAUUCGUAUCGUAAAGUUCUGUCCUAUGGGAAGAUAAUGACAGUACCAGAGAAGAAAGCGCCGGCUAAAUACGUG